CAGUGUGAACGGGAAAGCUCUUUUAGGAAGUCAUGGAGGAGGUUUUAUGGCUGUUUCCUUUCGGGAAGAUGGCAUUGUCUUUGCCCACAAUGACUGGGGAAAGGGUAUGAGUGAUCUGAUGACAGCAUCCUUCCAAGCCGGCACUUGUGGCAGGAGAGCCAGGGAUAUGUAGCGGCAGAGGCCAAAGUCUAUAAAUUUCUGAGUCUGCCCCCAGCUCAUUGUUCCCGUUUCCGUGGUUUUGAUGACCACUCUCUGCCGCCGGGAAUUCUCUUUGAGGGGAUUGCGAGUUUGGGCACCAGUUUUGUUUACUUUUCUCCAUUCUGGACCCAGGGAAAAAGAAGCUUUGCUCCCUCCCUCCUUGGAAAGACCUCAGCUCCACGUUCUCAUUGAGUGCCAUGGGAAGUUGCUACUAGGACUUUUUCUGCAGACAUACUGGGUCCACAAUAGACAAGUUGACAAAUCCUAAAACCCACAGAACACCUGGAAAAAAUUAACCCGGACAUUGAGUGCUGGGGGCCUCUUGGCUGGUUGUUUGCUUGGAGACUCACUUCUGUGUGAGGUGCAUCUAUAAGGCUCUACUUAGAGUGUAAGAUGCCAAAGCACCAAUAGGAAAUAAUAAAGAAGGAGAAAAGGGCUGGCAGAGCUCAGAAAGCUUCCUUACCUGAAUUCUCAGUACAUCCCCAGGCAAGCUGUCGAGCGCCGCCGUUAGCCCCGGAACAAUGGAUGCACAUAUGUGUGUGCAUGUGCUUGUGUGUACACUUAGUUUGGAUUGGAGCCAGCCCCACAAAAUUCAUUACCAACAAUUGUAGCAGUGACUCUCAUGUCUCCUUUGCUCAGUAUAACCCUGUACCAAGUCCUACCUCACCAUAAUCUCAUGCCUGUAUCUGUUCAUGUCCAGAAAGUGGCGGUUGGAUAUGAAGUUGCAGACGAUUAAAAUCAAUGAACAAUAAA